rnacentral:rRNA from 1 species
GACGAACGCUGGCGGCGUGCUUAACACAUGCAAGUCGAGCGGAAAGGCCCUUUCGGGGGUACUCGAGCGGCGAACGGGUGAGUAACACGUGAGUAAUCUGCCCUGGACUCUGGGAUAGCCACCGGAAACGGUGAUUAAUACCGGAUAUGACACUGUCACGCAUGUGGUGGUGUGGAAAGUUUUUUCGGUCCAGGAUGUGCUCGCGGCCUAUCAGCUUGUUGGUGAGGUAACGGCUCACCAAGGCUUUGACGGGUAACCGGCCUGAGAGGGUGACCGGUCACACUGGGACUGAGACACGGCCCAGACUCCUACGGGAGGCAGCAGUGGGGAAUAUUGGACAAUGGGCGGAAGCCUGAUCCAGCAACGCCGCGUGAGGGAUGACGGCCUUCGGGUUGUAAACCUCUUUCAACUCCGACGAAGCGAAAGUGACGGUAGGGGUAGAAGAAGGACCGGCCAACUACGUGCCAGCAGCCGCAGUAACAC